UCUACCUGCUUCCUCUCUCUCUUCCUGUUCCUGCUUCCCCUUCCCCUUUCCGAUUUCUUUAGAUUCUUUUUAUUUUUCAUCAGUCGCUUCCUGCACCCAGUGAAUCAACACUUCUCAUGGCCUCCUUGUCGACACUAGUGUUUCCCCAUUUCCAGAAUAUACUCUCUCUCUCUCUCUCUCUCUCUCUCUUUAACAAUGUCAAAUUUGAACUUCAAAAAGGGAAGAUAAAAUCUUCGAAAGAGAAAUUGAAGUUCAGAAAAGGGAAUGCAACUUGUACAAAUGUCAAGACUAUUACAAAACCAAGAGGAUGAGCUUAGAAGGCAAAAGGUGGAGAAGAGGUGUUCAUGGCUUGCUUUGUACAUGUACUGGAGAUUGAUUAUGAUAUUUAUUUUCAACUACUUUGGCAACACUAGAGAGCUCUCUCAAAAGGGUCUUCUGCCUUAGUAUUGUAAAUGUAAAGGCAAUGCUAGCAACUUAGUCAUGAAGUAGGGAUAUUUUGUACUUGAUAAUGUUUGGUUGUAAACAUUACUCUCUUAUAUGAAUAUUGAAUGAGUAGUUUCAGUUUU